GGUGUAUGAGAUCCUAUAUUACUUGGAAAUGAGAAGUUCUUACCUUUUAUAAGGCUCUAAUAGGGCUCCAAUUGUAUCAUUGACUAGUCCUUUUAGAGUAUAGACUAUGUGGUUUGGACCUUCUAUUGGAACGUUACAUGUACCUACCAAAACUUUGAGAUAGUAGGA